CCCCUGCAAUGGCUCUGCGCCCCCACCCCUCCCCACCCCAGAGGGCAGGCCCCACACUUUGGGAAGGUCUGCUCUAUAUGAAUGUUUGAAUGUGAUUAUAUGAGCUUCUGAGAUGUCACUUUGUAUUUUGUCUUGCAGCUAAGUUCUGGGCUGAAUUAGGAGGGAAGAAGGAGUACCAGACAUCAGAGAGGCUGGAGAGUCCGUCUAUGACUCAUCCUCCUCGACUCUUUGGAUGUUCCAACAAGACUGGCAGGUUCACAAUUGAAGAGGUUCCAGGAGAUUUCACACAGGAUGACUUAGCUGAAGAUGACGUGAUGCUGCUGGAUGUCUGGGACCAGGUGUUUGUCUGGAUUGGAAAGGAUGCAAACGAGGUGGAGAGAGCUGAAUCUCUCAAAUCUGCCAAACAGUACAUUGAGACUGACCCAGGGGG